rnacentral:rRNA from 1 species
UACAGAGGUCUCAAGCGUUGUUCGGAUUCAUUGGGCGUAAAGGGUGCGUAGGUGGCGCUGUAAGUCAGGUGUGAAAUUUCGGAGCUCAACUCCGAAACUGCAUUCGAUACUGCCGUGCUUGAGGACUGGAGAGGAGACUGGAAUUUACGGUGUAGCGGUGAAAUGCGUAGAUAUCGUAAGGAAGACCAGUGGCGAAGGCGGGUCUCCGGACAGUUCCUGACGCUGAGGCACGAAGGUCAGGGGAGCAAACGGG